GCUCAAACUAGCUUAAAGGUCAUGAAACGUGACUUACUGGUGUUGACAUCGUCUAUAUAAAUAGAAGUGUAGGAGGCAGAAAAGCCCCUGUAGGAAUUGGCAUAAUCUGUAGAUAGCACAACUGUCAUGGAGUUGGAGGAAGAUUCAAAGAAUCACUCCAUCCUCCAGGAACCUAAGGGCCUCAACCCACAUCUAAUGAAUCAGACCAGGGGAGUCUGGUCCCUGACAGAUGUCGCAGAGGUCUCGAGUUACUAAACAGGCUGAACAGAGUCUCUCCAUUGGGCUCAGCACUUGGCAACCUGUAGCUGUCUGAUGAGCCAAAUCUGCCUCGCCAGAAACUGGUUAGAGGAAAAGCACCCUGAGCUUCCCCAGAAGCAAAGAAUGGGAUUUUCAAAGGUGGCCACUGAAUCUGCGAUUUCUGUACACAGAUCUGGAGAAAUGCCUUUCCUCCAGACAGGGCUUGAGAGCACGAUGUCCCCAGCAGGAGCUGUUGUGACAUGUAUUUGCAGAGGGUGUGGGAAGGAUGCAUCAAGGACAACUUACAGGUAUCAGAAGAGAAGAAGUAGUAGAAGAUAAAGACACUUCUUUGGACACUUGUCAAGCCCGUGACGAUCUGAAACGUCAGGGAAUUGGACGAUGAUUCAAAUACAGGCACGAAGUCACUUUUACUGCAGACUUUCCCUAGCAGAGGCCCGUUGGUGGAGCUUCCAUCAAACACCUUAAUGUUUUCACUUUCACACCUUCCGUCUGGAUCCAACCUGGGAACAGAACACGCCUGUGGCUGGAGAAGAGCCAUUCACAAAGUGGCUUUCAAAAUACACUGUCCCCUGUUCGUAUUAGCACCACAGUUUAUAAAGUGGAGGCAAUCUGGCUCAUUUAGACCUCUGCUAGACCAGUCAUGGGCUUCACCCUUCUUUAACAUCAAACUACAACCUUAAUGGACUCAGGAAAGUGAAGUCACUUGCCAGCACCUUACAGUUAGUGAAUGCUCAAACACAGGCCUAGCAUCCGGGGCUGGAGUCCUCCCUGGCUUCCAUUACCCCUGUUUGCUGUGCCUCCAUGGUGACCAGUUGAUAUAGAAUAGUUCUAAUUUAGAAUCCAGCCUCACUAAUAUUUGAUAUCCAAGCUUGCUGAAAAUCAAGUCCUUCUCCAUGGCCACCUUCCAGGGAAGCAUCCCCCAGCUGCCCCUUUCUCCCCACCACAGGCUCAUUCUGAAGGACGGUCCAAUGCUCUGCACUGAACAGGCAGCCCAGGAUUUCUAUUUUAUGCCCACGCUGUCAGGCUCUUUUCAAAUGCCCAUGGAGGAGCUAUGUCCAAGAUGGCUUUGAGCCAAUAAUACAGACACAGAGAAGCUGAACUCCCUUCCACCUUAAGCACCUUCCUGGCUGUAUAGCUUUAGACCAGCUAUUUAACUGUUUGUUUGACUUCAGACUUCUGUAAAAUGAAUAUCACGAUGUGCUUUUUAUAUUUA